rnacentral:rRNA from 1 species
AGUGGCGAACGGGUGAGUAAUGCAUCGGAACGUGCCCAGUCGUGGGGGAUAACGCAGCGAAAGCUGCGCUAAUACCGCAUACGAUCUAUGGAUGAAAGCGGGGGACCUGCAAGGGCCUCGCGCGAUUGGAGCGGCCGAUGUCAGAUUAGGUAGUUGGUGGGGUAAAGGCUCACCAAACCGACGAUCUGUAGCUGGUCUGAGAGGACGACCAGCCACACUGGGACUGAGACACGGCCCAGACUCCUACGGGAGGCAGCAGUGGGGAAUUUUGGACAAUGGGCGCAAGCCUGAUCCAGCAAUGCCGCGUGCAGGAAGAAGGCCUUCGGGUUGUAAACUGCUUUUGUACGGAACGAAACGGCUCUGGUUAAUACCUGGGGCUAAUGACGGUACCGUAAGAAUAAGCACCGGCUAACUACGUGCCAGCAGCCGCGGUAAUACGUAGGGUGCGAGCGUUAAUCGGAAUUACUGGGCGUAAAGCGUGCGCAGGCGGUUUUGUAAGACAGACGUGAAAUCCCCGGGCUCAACCUGGGAAUGGCGUUUGUGACUGCAAAGCUGGAGUGCGGCAGAGGGGGAUGGAAUUCCGCGUGUAGCAGUGAAAUGCGUAGAUAUGCGGAGGAACACCGAUGGCGAAGGCAAUCCCCUGGGCCUGCACUGACGCUCAUGCACGAAAGCGUGGGGAGCAAACAGGAUUAGAUACCCU